AAAAGUUGGUAGAUGGGCAAAGUGAAUAGUGUGUGCUUUUUUUUAAUUUCACUGGCAAUACGUGCUCUACUUUACCGUUUUUGAAGAUGAAAUGUUCCAUAAAAUUAAUGAGACCCUAAUGGAUUUUGUUUAAGUGGCAAACAUUCGUGAGAACUAAUGUGGGUGAAUUGAAACCGAGUUCUGGAAUGCUGCGCCAAGAGAAGCACUUACAAGCUCACACAUAUGCAUGUACAUAUGUGACCACGGGAGGUAUUGGACCGGCUCACUAAAUAUAAAACUAAAACUGCAUAGAAGCGCAUGAAGGAGAACCACAAUAAGUUAUACAAGUAGAGAAGAACGUGCAAAAAGUAAUAGCAAAUGCAAAAAUAGUUGUAAGAACAACAAAUGGUGUAAUAGUGGAUAUAAUACCAAUAAAUAAUGCAUAAAAGCAAAGGCAAGGUUGCAAACUGGUAUUGAAGUAAUGUGAAACCGUCGCGCUGUGGGAGGAGCUGGUGUGGUAUAACAGCAACAAGACCAAAUCGCUGUUGUUGUUAUUGUGCUUGUACUUGCACCUAGUUAUUUUUUUGCUGCUUGUAUAUUUGAGAUCAAGAUCAAGGUUUUUUCCCUCAGCCUCAUGCAAUACCUUGCGUCUUAUGUGCUUGGCUUGUACUGUUUGUGUGUGUUUUUUUUGCACUCGCUUAACGACAACCAGUUGUUCGCGUUAGUACAAUGCAAUGCAAAGCAACAUCGAAAAAAAAAACUUCUAAACAGUGCAAGUAGCUGCAGACAACGGCAAAAUUAUAGCUGUUCAGAAAUACUUACGUCGUUUGGCCCAGCUGGGAUGUGAGAAACAAUUCCGUUCGAAGGCAAGGAUAACUUGCCUACAUACAUACAAACGUGGAUACAUGCAUAAAUUCGAUAAGGGGCCCAAACGAUCGUUAGCAAAGCAAAUGCUGCAACUUUAAGCGACAAAUAUAAGCAAAGUGCGCAGAGAAAAAGACUGCACGAAAGAUGUUUCCUUCACGACAAGUUUACGAAAAAAUCAAAGCCAAAGUCAGAGUCAAUGGCAGAACGAAAAGUUGAGAGUCGUUUGGCGUCGUGAUCACGCAAUGCUUUGGCGAAGCUAUUUUCGUACAAAACAUACUACCUAUGCACAUACAUACAUACCUACAUAUGUAUAUGUGUAUGGGUAUGCGAAGCAUUCAAGCCAGCCUACCAAAGUUUUUGAAAACCACGUUAAAAUGUGUGUAUGCGCCAAGAAUAAAAAACGAACGCUGUUGGUUGGAAGCGAAAGGGGCAGCAGAUGAAACAUAAAUAAAGUAAUGAAAAGAAUCACGCGAAACAAAGUUUGCAACUAUUACGUCUGCUUGGCUGGGCACGUUUUGCCUGGCCGUUGACUAUGACCACAACGGCGCGGCACAA